ACCCAGCUAUCUCAGUUGGUAGAGCAUGGGACUCUUAAUCCCCAGGGUCUUGGGUUCAUGCCCCAUGUUGGGCG
rnacentral:tRNA from 1 species